GCCGGCGUGGCGAAAUUGGCAGACGCGCUAGACUCAAAAUCUUGUUCCCGCAAGGGAGUGUCGGUUCGACCCCGACCGCCGGUA
rnacentral:tRNA from 1 species